AAGAGGAGAGGGGAGGAGCCAGCAGGGCCAAUGGUCCAUUCUGUCAAGAGACCGAAGGGCAACCUGCGGAGAAUUGAGAGCACCGAUGCUCUCAAGGAUGAAAUAGUCAUACCCAGAGGUACUCUUGUCAAGAGACCGAAGGGCAACCUGCGGAGAAUUGAGAGCACCGAUGCUCUAGGAUGAAAUAGUCAUACCCAGAGGUACUCUUGUCAAGAGACCGAAGGGCAACCUGCGGAGAAUUGAGAGCACCGAUGCUCUCAAGGAUGAAAUAGUCAUACCCAGAGGUACUCUUGUGACUUGCGUUGCUGGUGUAGAGAUGCAGCCUGAAGAUGUUGGUGCCGCCAUUCAAUUUUUGGAGUUUUGUCGCUCAUUUGGCGAGGUAGUUAUGGAAAGCAAAUAGUAUUUUUUUAAUCAUAUGUUAGUUACACUUCUGCGAUAAAAUCUC
rnacentral:lncRNA from 1 species